UUAAACGACUCAUUACGGUAUAGUAUGAGUUGAUAUUAUUCGAGACUAACACGUGUUUCCGCUUUAGCAGUAAACAACAACAGCAUGGAUUUUCAUGAUUAUUUUACGAUGGAGGACACGUCAAUUCAUCAGAUAUGACGGGUCUUUUCUUUGGCAUUAUAUGUGACAUGUGUAGUGUGCUGGUACCAAAGGCUUCAGAACUUUCAUCUAUGAAGACCCACUUGCUAAUCCCACCAAUGGCCACCAUGCACAGAAAAGACCAUGAUGUGGAGGACAUAGGUGCUUAGUUAUUAGAGUCGGGACAGAAUACAUUUAGAAACUGAUCAUGCCUUGGUCAAAUCAAAGGAGUUCCCUCGGUCUUUCAGAGAGAUGGCAGAGAGUUCAUUCAACAUGAAGAUGAUGUGCACAUAAUGUAAUCUGGGAUCUAAAGUUAGAGA